CCUACGGGUGGCAGCAGUGAGGAAUAUUGGUCAAUGGGCGAGAGCCUGAACCAGCCAAGUCGCGUGAGGGAGUACUGCCCUAUGGGUUGUAAACCGCUUUUGUCGGGGAGCAAAAGCCGGACGUGUCCGGCUGUGAGAGUACUCGAAGCAAAGCAUCGGCAAACUCCGUGCCGGCAGCCCCGGAAUGACGGAGGAUGCCAGCGUUAUCCGGUUUUAUUGGGUUUAAAGGGGGAGCAGGCGGAUUUUUAAGUCAGCGGGAAAAUCGUGGGGCUCAACCCCAUCCAGCCGUUGAAACUGGGGAUCUAGAGUGUGCGAGAGGUAUGCGGAAUGCGUGGUGUAGCGGUGAAAUGCAUAGAUAUCACGCAGAACCCCGAUUGCGAAGGCAGCAUACCGGUGCACAACUGACGCUCAGGCACGAAAGCGUGGGUAUCGAACAGGAUUAGAUACCCUUGUAGUC
rnacentral:rRNA from 1 species